rnacentral:sRNA from 1 species
AUGUUUAUACACAACUAAUGUACAUAUACAUUUUUACAGCCAUUUUGUGAAAUAAAUCCUGUAAUUGAGACUUAUUUACAAUGGCUGUCACUGGAUUUUAAUGUUUGAUUUUGAUAAUUAAA